ensembl:lncRNA
CAGGAAUGAGCCCAGAGCACGCACCUCCACAUCUGCAGGCCUGAGCAGGUGACGAACAAGGGAGCUGUAGAGAGAGUCUCUGAAAGUUGUUCCCGCUGUCUGAGAGACACGAGGAGGAUGGAUUUUCAAAGGAUGGAGCAGAGCCCAGGGCUGCGUCCUUUGAAGCCAGGGCUCCUGAACAUGCCGUGCCGGUGUUACUGGUUCUUAGCAGCUGACUCGCAUACUGACAUGUCUUUGGGCUGGAUGCUGGAACACUGACACCUCUUUGGGCCAGAUGCUGGGAUAGACCCCCAAAGGGCAUGACCCCCACCCCCUGCCCCUGCUGUUGUUUUUUCUAACUUUUUGGUCGUGCCUUGAGGCAUGGUGGUAUCUUUGUUCCCCAUCCAGGGACCUUGGCCCCCUGCAUUGAAAGGGCGGAGUCUUAAC